AGCAACCAGAGGCAGGAAAGGAAAAAUGGGAAGGUUUUCUCAGAGUUAACUUUCUCUAACCUUGAAGCCGAAUCCAGGGGCAGGAGCAGGAGUCAACUCUGAGAAGACGUGAUAGAGCUUCAGCAACAUGGAGAGGAGAUAGCCGGUCUGGCUAGGAUGGAAGAAAUGUACAUGGAGAAGAAAGACAGAAGAACCAUCACUGAGCACUAAACUAAUCAGCCAUAAUGUGCAGAUUGACUGGCAAGCCUAUCACCACCUUGAUAACAGAUGACAUUAAAGAGAAAGUAUCAAUGUGAGGAUUAAAUGGGAUGAAAAAUAAAACAUCUGUCGGAGUGCCUGGAAUAUGAGCCUAGUAGAGCACCCAGCACACAGUAGGCUCUUAAUACAUGCUUGGGAUGAUUGAGGCAUUUUCUUCCACCAUAUUCCAUGAUCUUCUAGCCCUGGGGGUGCAGAGAGAUUACCUGGCCAAGAAGACUAGGGGUAAAGUACUUUUCUUACCUGGUACACAAAUAUCCAAGAUUGGAAAGAAGAAAGAAAAUGACGACAGAAUUUUGCAGUCUACAAGGCAAACACUGCCAUUCAUGUAGUUAUGGAGUUCCUACUAUGUGCAGACAAUGGGAAACUUUACGAAGGGUUUUAAAAAGCAGCAGGUUUAAGAGCUGACCAUAUCUGAAAGACUCUAGAAUAGCAGAGGAUUGAUUAAAGGGACACAGAGGUUCAUGUGAUGUAAUAAGAAAGAAAUAAAGGAAGCUUUAUCUGCCGCUCUUUCAACCUCAUCCACUCAACACUUACCCCGUGACAGACCCCAAUACUCUUAAUGAAUUCCCAAGGUUACGAAAGAACUUGGAAGAUCUUACAUUCCUACAUGGUGAUUACAGAGGCUCACAUUUUGCCAAGUCAUAUGCAGGUGGCUGAAAAAUGUGAUCUAACGUCCUUGAACACAUUUAUUACAAUCCAUCAUCUACAUGGCAACAGUCAGGGCCAUGCUCAUAAACCAGAACUGGUGCUAGAUCUGCACUAAAUGAUAUCAGCUGGUCAAUGUAUCAAUGAAGCUUCUCCUGCAAAAAAUGUCUCCCUUAUUUUGGUUUC
rnacentral:lncRNA from 1 species